CAAAGGCAUUAAAUGAACCAUUUCUGAGACUCUACUGACUUUAUUCAUUCCCUCAUUUCUUACUUUGCUAAUGGAGAAAGACAUCAGAAGAAGAAAGGGAAAGAUGCAGAUCAUGAAUUAGACUGCCUGCCUAAACCAGACUGCUGAUUUUCUUGAAAGCUCUGCUCUCCCCUCCAUCCUGGCAUUAUCAGAUAUUGGAUCUGUGUUUUGUGCAGAAGUGCCAUGGAAGCAUGCUUGCCCAAUCAGUCCAUAUCUCUGCCUCAUCCUCACAGUAAAAGCAGUGGUUAAGGCAGAAAAACACCCGCUUGAAAGCAGUCAUUACAGCAACCUUCUAUCCAGGGCUUGGCUGCCUUCACGGGGCAAGGGAAUGAAAGUAAAGUGGAUGGAAACUGAUCUAGUGCCAUUCAGCCGUCAGUGGGAUGAGCAAAGACUUCAAGCCAAAAUCUCUUUCCCAGCAUAAUGCAGUGUAGAAGGUGGCAGAGCAAGAAAAUCCAACAGACGAGGAGCGUAACGCAGCUAACGUCUGGCAGAUCAGAAAACCUUUCCUGCGCGGCUGCUGGAUGUCGUUGCACAGAGGCAGAGCACGAGGCUGUGCAGCAGCUGGACGGGACGUCCUGUCCUGUCCUUCCCGUCGCUCUGCUCCUGGCUGCAGGCUCACCGCCUGUCCUCUGCUUUACUGCACGCCAGCGUUAUCAGAUGUGACUCAGAGAGGGUGCUUUGGAAAGCAGGCAGUGCUGGCGGCCUGUCGCAAGGGCCACAGUUGUCCUUUCCAGUGUGGCACUGUCCUCUAGUGGAAAAGGGGGCUGCCUGGCUAUUUGCUGUGCUGUCCGGGCAGCUGCAGCUCCGGGGCACUUUUUGGAAGCUGAUCAUGGUAAUCAGGCACGUUGUGGCUCCAGGAGGCCACCAAGCAGGCACGGCGUGGUUUUGUGCUGCAGUGUCGUGGCAGCUACUUGGGAGUGCUCGGGGGCUGCUGCGGCCCCCAGAAAGCUUCUGAUGCAGCUCAUGGCUCCAGGAGGUCUCAGCAAUAAGGAACAGUAAUGUCUCUUCCUCAGAUUCAAACCCUGAGUCUCUUGGUCCCAGUCCUAGGAGAGGUGACCCAUCUGUCAUUGGGUUUGAAGUGGAUGAACUGCAUUCCAGGCUAAGAAGAGAGUGCCUUUCAAGUUGAGCCUCCCUCAAUAAUCAACAUAUCGGUUUGUACUGAUAGAGAUCACCUACUGAAUUUCAUUAGAGUGAUGCUUACCGUGGUCCUUGCAGCAUGCUGUCUACUUGGCAGCUGCUUUGCAUCCUGGAGUUGGCUGCAGUUCAAUGGUAAAGGAAUUCUUAACUGUUUGUCAUUGUAAAGCACUUUGGGAUGAAUGGUGUUACAUAAAUGUAAGAUUAUGAUUAGGCAUUAAUCUGCACCGAAAUAAUGAAGAAUAUUUAAAUGUGCUUUUUCUUCCAGUAAGUCUUAUUUAAUGUGAAGGGGAAUCAAUUUAUCACUGUCUUGCCAUGACUUUCUCCUACCCCUCCAGCUAGAAUUGCAAAUUGUGAAUUGCAGAGAAGAAAACGGUUGGCUGUCAACGGCAGCAUAAUUGCAAAUGGCCCCGUGAUCCAAACUGAAGCUAUUUAUCCUCAGCGGCUUUUGGAGUUCUACUUUCAAAUGUUUUCAUCCAAACAAGUCAGUGACCCUGAACCUACAAGGCCAUAUUACACAAGAACUCAUAGCUGCAGAGCUGCUGUGCACGGGCCUGGUACAUCGUGUGACAGACGAGCACCCUGUGGCAGAGCUUUGUGCUCUGCUUUUGACUCCAUUGGCUGCGCAGCAGAGAUCACGUAAACUUUCACUGUAAAACCCUUAGAAAGGACAACAGCUACCCAGCUCUUCCGUGUUACUGACCAUGGAUCCAGCAAGAAGCCGAACCCUGCUGAUCCAUUCAUUCUGGAAGCUAUCUGCCUUACUGUUCAGCAUGAUUAUACCACGUACCGCACAACCGUACCCUUCCAAGUGAUUCAUGAGGUUCCAGGGCUUUGCUGUAACGUAUCUCGAAUGUCAACGAGUACAGAGAAAGCAAAAGACUGGCAAAGUAGAGACCUGAGUUGUUUAUUUCAAACAAAGCUUUGGCUGGGUUGAAGUAUUUGGGAAGGUUUCUAGAAGCACCGAUCUAGUUUUGUGUCAGCUUUUUUGUAUUAGCAGUAUCUAUCAAGCUGGAAAGUAUUCUCCUAUACAG